rnacentral:lncRNA from 1 species
AAUUAUAUUAUGUUAUUCUCUGAUUAUAUUCUCAUUUCAAGAUGAGUACUGCUUCACAUCUCAUGGCACUGUGGAGGACAAUUAGCAUUCUCAAAAUGCUGCUAAAGUGACAUCCAGGAAAGAAUCCUCACUACCCUAUUCUGCAGAUCAUGUGCUGACAAAUAAGACUUGGAGGAGUUUCAGAACCUGAGUGGACUACAGCGUUGAGCCUGGAGCAAACAGCAGAACACAGAGUGCCAUCGAGUGGCAAGAUUCCAGCAAUACACUCCUGAAAGUCCCUGCUAAUGCCUUGUUCAGCAGCCCAUUUUUUAAGACAGGUUUGCUGACUGACUACAAGAGAA